CACUUAGCUCAGUUGGUUAGAGCCUGGUGCUGAUAACCCCAAGGCUGCAGGUUCGAUUCCCAUAUGGGGGA
rnacentral:tRNA from 1 species